AGGGUUUUGAGCUUGGAAUUCUUCAGGGGUAAAGUGUUUUGAGUUUGAAAUUCUUCUGGGGUAAAUGGUUUUGAGCUUGGAAUUCUUCAGGGAUAAAGGGUUUUGAGCUUGGAAUUCUUCAGGGGUAAAGAGGUUUGAGAUUGAAAUUCUUUAGGGGUAAAGUGUUUUGAGCUUGGAAUUCUUUAGGGGUGAAGGGUUUUGAGCUUGGAAUUCUUCAGGGGUAAAGGGUUUUGAGCUUGGAACUCUUCAGGGGUAAAGCGUUUUGAGCUUGGAAUUUUGGAAUUCUUCAG